rnacentral:misc_RNA from 1 species
UAAUAAGUGUUUUAUGGCACUUUUUUAAAUCCAUAUCCACCUCGUGUGCAAUGUCAGUCGAUCUUCUUCAUGGAGAUCGACCAAACAUCAACCUUUAUUUUUUAACUCUUUGUCUGAAAAAUAUUAUGAAUAAACAAUUCAAAAUA